rnacentral:rRNA from 1 species
UACGUAGGGGGCUAGCGUUGUCCGGAAUCAUUGGGCGUAAAGAGCGCGUAGGCGGCCAGAUAAGUCCGGUGUGAAAGUCACAGGCUCAACCUGUGAAUGCCGCUGGAAACUGUCUGGCUAGAGUCCGGAAGGGGCGAGUGGAAUUCCUGGUGUAGCGGUGAAAUGCGCAGAUAUCAGGAGGAACACCAAUGGCGAAGGCAGCUCGCUGGAACGGUACUGACGCUGUGGCGCGAAAGCGUGGGAGCAAACAGG